AUUCUGAAAUCUCUUCCUGUGACCAGCGAGAUCGACCGUCAUCAAUCGCGUACCGAGCGGGUCCUCGAUCCCUCAUCGGAUCUCGCUCUUGUCAAGAUCCGAUACAGAUCUCCCAUAUCACCCCUAAAUUUUUUGUUUCUUUAUUUUUAAAUGCCAGGUUUCUGAAAUUAGCUGGUGAUGUAGUGUGGAGAAUUUCUAGGGGGUUUCUCCAUCACCUCCCAAGCCCAGCUAUAUCAAAAAUCGGCCUUACAUUCUUAACGGGUGUUAUCGUUUCGGAUCUUAACCCGUUACAUGACUCUGGAAUACCAACGGAGGAGCCUAUUCGUUAUCACGUGCCUCUUUCUUCAUGAUGUCACGUGCUACAUCUAGGCUCUACAUUUAUCGUGUAUUUUUUACAAAUAAUCAUACAGAAUUUAUUUUAUCCAGCCAAGUAUCACUUUGUCGGUAGGAUGGCGAUCCGAUGGAUGAUGCGGUUUCGUGGCUGGAAAAAUCAAAAUGGGUCUAGUUUUUAAUAACUCGUGGCUCAAAUUUUGUUUAUGUUGACGCGUGUUGCGUCCGGGCUCGAUAUUUGAUUAUAUAGAUUAAAAGUUUGGGAUUAAUGUUUCAGUAUGGUUAAGUGAGUAAUUUUGUUAAAUAAAAAGUGUUUUGAUUUGUGAUA